CAGUCGCCACGGGAAUACGUAGGGUGCGAGCGUUAAUCGGAAUUACUGGGCGUAGAGCGUGCGCAGGCGGUUGUGUAAGACAGGUGUGAAAUCCCCGGGCUUAACCUGGGAACUGCGCUUGUGACUGCACAGCUAGAGUAUGGCAGAGGGGGGUAGAAUUCCACGUGUAGCAGUGAAAUGCGUAGAUAUGUGGAGGAAUACCGAUGGCGAAGGCAGCCCCCUGGGAUAACACUGACGCUCAUGCACGAAAGCGUGGGGAGCAAACAGGAUUAGAUACCCCCGUAGUCCCUGUCUCUUAUAC
rnacentral:rRNA from 1 species